rnacentral:ribozyme from 1 species
CAUAAUAAACACGGAGAGAACGAGCUAGAGAGCCAGACAAAAGAGGAACAGAAAGAGUGAAGUUGUUGGUUGAUUUGUUUGUUUGUUUGUUUCUUCUUCUUUUUCUCU